UCUCUGGUGGACUAGAGGCUAGCAUGCGACGCUCUCACUGCCAUGGCCUGGGUUCGAUUCCCGGUCAGGGAC